rnacentral:lncRNA from 10 species
GAAUCCAGGGUAGCUGAGGUUACUCAGACCUGACGAAUGACUGGAAAGAUACAAAGACAUUUCACUUAAUGGCCGUGGACAGCAACCUCAUGAUGACAUCGCUCCAGCAUUUCUUUGUGAAAUGUGUUGCUCCCUGGGCCUGUCCCAUUAUCAGUGUUUGGGCCUGUAUCCUGGGACUCUACCAGCUUUACCAGUGACAGUUCCAUAUCCCAAAACACCCUUCGGUAGCAGGCAAACUGGCAUGGUUGGUCAGUCUACGAGACACAGUGAGAUGGCUUCAGUCUUUUCUCUGGAGCAUCUCUGGCUGGACUGGACGUUGUUAGUGUGAGACAUCAGGGGACUUGCAGCAUUCAGAGUGGGGUAUCGGAAGGCCCACAAAGGCCCACUCUCAGUUUAUAAGGUCACAUAGUUACAGAAGGAGCUCUCCAACCUGACUGCUAAAGCUGCAGCCAUAAAUCCUUGGAACCC